UAUUCUUUUUAUUUUUUACUUAUCAUUUUUUUUUUUAAAUUUAUUUAUCAAACAAGUCUAGGAGCCCCCGCCCUUUUCAUUGUCUUUGCCUUUUUCUCUGCAAAAGAGCGAGAGACAGAGAAAGCAAUAAGAAAUGUCACUCUUGCAAAACCCUCUCCAAAUUCGACCGUUGAUUCGCUACCCAUUUCAAAACUGCCCCAACUCUCUCCAACCCGCCACCCCAAACCUCCAUUUCCGUCCCAAAACACCUCCAAAGCCAAUCCAUUUCCACCCAUCAACACCCAAAUGCCAGCAGACCCAUCGUUCCAGCCCCCAACCCAAAACCCAGGACGACGGCAUCCCCGCCGAGGAUGUCAAAAUCCUCGCCAAGUUCAAGUCCAGGUACAAUUACAUCCGUGUCCUCGAAGUUUCCCGGAGAGCCGACCACCCUUUCGCCGGCUCAAGGCUUCUCCUUCUAGACGUCCCCGGAAACAUCCACAGCAUCUCUUAUAUCUUCAAGAACCUCACCAACACUUAUUUCGACGUUUUCGCCACCUUCCCGCCCAUUUUGCCUCCCGGACCCCUCGCAAUUCUCGGGUUUGGGGCUGGUACGGCCGCCCGGUCCAUUCUGGAGCUGUACCCGCAAGGGGUGGUUCAUGGGUGGGAGAUUGACCCAACUGUGGUUGCUGUGGCAAGAGAGUACUUUGGCCUUUCGAAGCUCGAAAGGCAGUUCCCAGAUAGGCUUGUAAUCCACAUCGGAGACGCAUUUAAAGCCUCGUCGAAAGAUGGGUUUGCCGGAAUUUUGGUGGAUUUGUUUGCCCAAGGGAGUUUGGUCCCGGAGCUUCAAGACCCAAAUACUUGGGAGAUGCUCACCAGGUGUUUGAGAAAAGGCGGGAGAGUAAUGGUCAAUGUGGGAGGCAGUUGUGUGGAGGCUGAGGACUCGCAGAAAGAUGGGAAAGUAGUUAUGCAAGACACUUUGAAGGCUAUGCAUCAGGUUUUCGGUGACAAGCUCUUUGUAUUGAGCCUUGGGAAUCGGCAGGAAGAUAGUUCGAUUGCUCUUACUGGUGAUGUGCCUGAUGUUGAGGCUUGGAAGAAGGCGCUGCCGCCUUCUCUAGCUGGUUAUGUCGAUAUGUGGAAGCCAUUCAGUGGUUAAAUCGAUUGUAUGGCAUGGUCUUCUAGUCUUGGUUCUGAAUUUUGAGGCCUACAAAGUGGGACAGGAGAUUACGAAGACUACAAUACUAUGCACCUUCGUUUGCCUCGACUUUUCUUUCGCCCAGCAGCCAACUCAAGAGGUUACCAUCACUUCGGAUCAAAUUAAUGCGGUUCAAGCAAAGCAGAAUGCACAGAGACAACAGAGCAUACUGCAAAAGUCUAACAAUGGUUUUAUACCAAUUUUUUACCAUUACUUUGAAUUCAUCAUCUUCAAGAUCCAUCUGUCAAAUUGAGCUGCCUAUUCAUCACAAGCUUUUAGAACCUCAGUCCUUUAGUGCUAAUAUAUUCUCCCACUAGCACAAAAAAUUAUUAGCCGCAUUAUCAACGUGGUGUUCUUUUUUGUGGUUUUUGGUUUUUACUAUCAACUUGUUGGAAUGGUUGACUUCAUAUCAAAGACAAAACCAGCUGUUUAAAUUACCAGUUUUCUAGUACGCUUCUGUCUUGUUCUAAUGGAGAGGUCAUGUGAAGAAUAUAAGGGCUCUUUACCAGUCCUCGGUCAAUAUUCACUAGCUAGCUCUAGAUUUAGCACUUGGAAGUCGAAGUCAAAAUUGUCUAUAUUAUUGUCCUUAUGCCUUCCCUGAAAGCAAGGGGAAUAAUCUCUGAAGUCGAAGUCAACUUCUUAUUUUCCUCAACCUAACCAUAAAAUCCUCCUUCAACCAAACACUCAUUAGAGUAAAGGAAAACAGUAAUUAUAAUACAAUUGAACACAAUGUAGCUUAAGCUCUAUAAAUUUGCUUCAGAGUUUUCAGUAUCCUAGGAGACAAAGCAUUCACACUGAAAAUUUCUGUAUGUUCUUGUUUCCUGCUUUGCCUUUUUCGGGCAAAGUUGGUUUUAGUUUUAGUAGCUGUAUAUUGAUGGAGAGCUCAUGACAAGGAAUAUGAGGAUUUUUUUUCUACUCAUUAGCUCUACCUUACACUUUAAUCGAAGUCAAAUUACGUCUAUAUAAUAGUGAAGGCACACUGAAAGCAAGGGAAGUAAUAUGUAAUAUGUGAAGUCCAAGUCAACUCCUAUUUUCCUAAAACUCAAUCCUCCUUCUACUAGACCCUCAUUAUAUGAAACCAGAACAGUAAUAAAAUCAAGCGAUUAUUUGGCUCAAGCAGUCAAUCUAUAAAUCUUUCUUCAUUAUUUUCAAUAUCCUAGCAUCAUAUCAAAGCAUUCACACUGAAAAGCCUUCCAUGAUGAGUAGUUAUCCGAAAAAGUUGGUUUUAGCUGUAGUUGCAUUUUCUCUUCUUGUGGGUUUUCUACCUGCAACUUCUGCAUUAUCUCCUCAUGGUAAUAGGACUUUCUCACCCGCAAUGCUUUACCUUUUGUUGGAAAUUGCAUUCUCCCAUCUAACAUAAGUUGUAGAGAAAUCGUGACAAUUUACUUUUUUUGUCCUUAAGUAUGAUAUCAAUGAAAUAUUCUGACAAUUAAUACUAGUUGCUUGCUGUGAUUAUCUUAUGGGUGAGGAGGUGAGAUGAGUUUAUGGAUAUUGCCUAUAGAGAUGGCUUGAGCAAGAUAAUUGGAAGAAGAGAAGGUAACUUUGGAUGUCAAGGUGACAGUGUUAGCACGAAAACAAAGCCCACCCACAGCCUAAGAACAACCCCAUCCCCACCACCUGCGGCCUUUAGUAGUAAACCAGGAUCACAGCGUAAUGCUGUACCUCCUUCAUCUGUUUCAUAAUGACUAUCUAUGUAACUAUGUUUAUGUAUUCUGCGGAUGUUGAUAAUUCCCUUGGCAAGUUUUCAUUUUCAACUUGUUGCUCAUUUACUAGUCCAUUUGGCUUCGGGGUCCUAUACAAUAAUCUACUUGAGUGAAAGUAGUUUUUCCCGAAGUAAAAGUAUGUAAAAUCUGUUUAAUACUUUCUUCAGUAUAUAGAAUCCAUUAAUCUCUGCAGUGUUACAAGGAUCAACCCAAACACUGUAUCUCUGCAAUUUGGGUGUAUUAGUUUAUCAAUAGGAUUAUGCAGGGUCUAGAAUAGAAUAGCAGGUGGUAUAUGCGACACAUGCAAAUUAAUCUGCAACUUUCACAAGUAUUAACCCAAAGACUAUAUCUCUGAAAUUCUGGGUGUCUUAUUCUUUAUCAAUAGAAUUAUGCAGGGUUUUAGACUAGAAUAACAGAUAAUAUAUGUUCAGCAGACACACGAUCAUACUAAUCUAAGCUAUUUCUCAGGUUAUCCAUAUACUCAAUUUAAGAAGUAUGUGAGGCUAGAAAAAAAUAUAUAAAUAUAAAGAAGCUUUCUUAUACAUGAAUUGCCAUAUCUUCAAGUACAACGGAUAGCUGCAAAGUUAAACGUGAAACUACUUAUUGAGGGGCUUGUGAUGAAAGCUAUAGAGCAUGGUCUAAGGUUGCAUCAACCUUUCAAAAUAUCUAAAUUAAAGCAUAUGCAUACGUAGUGUACAUAUCUCGCUGUUGCCAGAGAGUAGUACUUUGGCCUUUUCAGACUUGAAAGACCAUACCCACCCAGAUAUGCUUAUUUGGAAAUGCAUGCUUAUUAUUCUUUUGGAAAUGCAUUUAAAGCUAGCACUAGAGACACGUUUUCAGGAAUUUUGGAUUUCUUUUUUCAAGGUAGUUAUGCUCACCAAAUUUUUGAGAAAAAGGCAGGAGAAUAGUGGUCAAUGUAGGUAGUAGUGUGUAGAGGCAGAGGACUCGCAGAUAAUUUGGGCAAGUAGGUAUGGAAGACACUUCAAAGGUUAUAGUAUCGGGCUUUCAGUGACAAGCUUUACGUGUUGAGCCUUGGGAAUUGAUAGGAAUAUACUUGUAUUGCCCUUACUGAUUGCCAGAUCUUGAUGCUUGGAAGAAGGCGCUGCUGCGCUCUUUAGCUGGUUAUGUUGAUAUCUGCAUGCCGUUGAGCAGUUAAAUUGGUAUCUUUUAGUUCCUUGAUUAAAACGAUUGGUGUUGUGGUGUGUACUGAAGUAGUCAUGAGGCAGUCUAUUGAUGCUAACCAUGUGGCUAUGCAUAUUUUCCCGUUUGAAUCAAAAUAUUGCUCAGACUGAGUUAUUUUUAUCCUCACAUCUGCUGUAUUUGGCUUGAUAUAUAUUGUUGGUCAAUUUUGUAAUCAGUUGAGCUGUAGAGAUUAACGAAAGUACAAACCAUAAUCUAUCAGGAUAGACAUUAUUAGUCCAUUUCCUAACAUCUUGACAUUUUCAAUCCAUUGAUUGUAUAACAUGGUCUUCUAAUGUUGUUUCUGAGGCCUACAGUGGAUAGGAGAUUAUGAAGAUAAGUCUAACAGUGGUUUCAUACCAAGUUUUGACCAUUACAGUUCAUCAUGUCAUAUGCGUACACAUCCAUUUCACCCCAAAAAAAAAAAGACGGAAGUAAAUUGUCAAAAUGAGCUGCUAUAUUCAUCACAAGGGUUGAGAACCUUAGUCCUUUAGUGCUAAUAUAUAUAUCCUCCACCUUGCCAGAAAAACUCUAUGUUAUUAGCCGCAUUAGGAUUUGGCUUCUCUGCUAUAACUAUAAUGGAUUUGGCUGAGAAGCCAAGUCCAUUAUCAACUUGGUGUUCUUUUUUGUGGUUUUUGGUUUUUGCUAUCAACUUGUUGGAAUGGUUGACUUCAUAUCAAAUGCAGAACCAGCUGUAUAAAUUACCAGUUCUUUUAGUAUGAUUCUGUCCUGUUCUGGGGAGGUCAUGAGAUGAAUAUGAGGGCUCUUAUUAGAAAUCCUCAGUUCUUCACUACUCUCACUAGUCAGCUCUAGAUUUAGUACAUGGAAAAUCAAAAUCAAAUUUGUGUAUAUAUAAUAGUCCUUCGGCCUUCCAUGAAAGUGAGGGAAGUAAUCUCUGAAGUUGAAGUCAACUUUCUUAUUUUCCUCAACCUAACCAUAAACAAUCCUCCUUCUACCAAACACUCAUUAGAGUAAAGGAAAACAAUAGUUAUAAUAUUACUAAACACGAUAUAGCUUAAGCGGGGGAUCUAUAAAUUUUGCUUCAGGGUUUUCAGUAUCCUAGGAGACAAAGCAUUCACACCGAAAAGUUUCUACUAGUUCUUGUUUCCUGCUUUGCAAGAUGAGUGGUUUUCCGGCGAAGAUGGUUUUAGUUUUAGUAGCUGUAUAUCUUCUUCUGGGAUUUUUACCAGCAACUUCUGCUUUACUUUCUCAUGCUGAAGAUGGUGAGAAGAGUUUAUGGCAUGUUGACUGUAGACAUGGCUUGAUGAAGAUACUUGGAAGAAAAGAAGGUUACUUUGGAGGCCAAAAUGGCUUUGUUAGCAAGAAAAUAGUGCCAACGCGCAGCCUAAGAGUAAUGGUUACAUCAAAAGCGCCACCUUCACCGGUUAAAAACAAAGCAACGUCACAGCAUGUUACUGCUGCCCCUCCAUCAUCCAUUGCUUGAGGGCAAAUUAUGUUAAUGUAUUCUGUGGAUGCCUAUCGUUCGCUAUGGAACUUCUUGUUUUAUGUUGUUGCCUCACCAGCAAGUCCAUUUGGCUUUGAGGUCUUUCUGCAAUAAGCUACUACAAUCUAAAUGUGUAAAUCUGUUGAAUAAUUUCUGCAGUAAAUAUAAAUUCCAUUACUCUUCUGCA